rnacentral:miRNA from 2 species
CUGUUAUGAAUUGAUGGAGUG